AGAGUUUGAUCCUGGCUCAGGACGAACGCUGGCGGCGCGCCUAACACAUGCAAGUCGAACGAGCGAGAGAGAGCUUGCUUUCUCGAGCGAGUGGCGAACGGGUGAGUAACGCGUGAGGAACCUGCCUCAAAGAGGGGGACAACAGUUGGAAACGACUGCUAAUACCGCAUAAGCCCACGGCUCGGCAUCGAGCAGAGGGAAAAGGAGCAAUCCGCUUUGAGAUGGCCUCGCGUCCGAUUAGCUAGUUGGUGAGGUAACGGCCCACCAAGGCGACGAUCGGUAGCCGGACUGAGAGGUUGAACGGCCACAUUGGGACUGAGACACGGCCCAGACUCCUACGGGAGGCAGCAGUGGGGAAUAUUGCACAAUGGGGGAAACCCUGAUGCAGCGACGCCGCGUGGAGGAAGAAGGUCUUCGGAUUGUAAACUCCUGUUGUUGAGGAAGAUAAUGACGGUACUCAACAAGGAAGUGACGGCUAACUACGUGCCAGCAGCCGCGGUAAAACGUAGGUCACAAGCGUUGUCCGGAAUUACUGGGUGUAAAGGGAGCGCAGGCGGGAAGACAAGUUGGAAGUGAAAUCCAUGGGCUCAACCCAUGAACUGCUUUCAAAACUGUUUUUCUUGAGUAGUGCAGAGGUAGGCGGAAUUCCCGGUGUAGCGGUGGAAUGCGUAGAUAUCGGGAGGAACACCAGUGGCGAAGGCGGCCUACUGGGCACCAACUGACGCUGAGGCUCGAAAGUGUGGGUAGCAAACAGGAUUAGAUACCCUGGUAGUCCACACCGUAAACGAUGAUUACUAGGUGUUGGAGGAUUGACCCCUUCAGUGCCGCAGUUAACACAAUAAGUAAUCCACCUGGGGAGUACGACCGCAAGGUUGAAACUCAAAGGAAUUGACGGGGGCCCGCACAA
rnacentral:rRNA from 1 species